GUCUACGGCCAUGCUACCCUAAACAAGCCCGAUCCAGAGAUGGAAGCUAAGCAGGGUCGGGCCUGGUUAGUACUUGGAUGGGAGACCACUUAGGAAGACCGGUGCUGUAAGCG
rnacentral:rRNA from 1 species